rnacentral:lncRNA from 1 species
UUUUUUUUUUUUUUUUUUUUUGAGAGAUAGGUAGCACGCUACCCGCUUCGUUUAUUUCAUUUAGAAAUAAACUUAGCUAGAAAUGUGAAUCAAUUAGGAUUCGAACUUGGAUCUCGGGUACCAACCACCAAGCCCUUUGCCACUUGCUCUGAGGACGUUUGGUAGAGGGAUCUUGAGGGUUUGAACCAUCUUUUUCCUAGUACAAAGUUAUUGAUGCAAUUAGGUUUUCGGCUUUAAGAGAUAUGCGAUGAUAGUAGUCUCCUAGGAUAUUUGAAGUUUUUAAAAAUAAAAUUUUAUAUUUUUUUGACAUAGUUUACUUUAUAAUCAAAUUGUUUCACAAUUGUCAAAUUUUAAUAACUAUUAUGAAAAGUUUGUAGUUUAACUGUGUAGAAAAAUCUAAAUUUAUUUAAAUUUUGAUAGAAAAUACUUUAAACUAUCUAGACCAAGGUCAACAUCAUUGAUCUUGAAUUCAAAAGUCCUAUAUUCAAAUUUUAAAAAUUGCUCAAUUUUUACUGUUCAUUUUAACAUGAUUUAACUUACUAAGUAAAUGAUAUCAUAAAAAACGAAAAUUUUAUUCCUAAGAAUUUC